GGGUUGUGAGGUUAAGCGACUAAGCGUACACGGUGGAUGCCCUGGCAGUCAGAGGCGAUGAAGGGCGUACUAAUCUGCGAUAAGCGCCGGUAAGGUGAUAUGAACCGUUAUAACCGGCGAUACCCGAAUGGGGAAACCCAGUGUGAUUCGUCACACUAUCAUUAACUGAAUCCAUAGGUUAAUGAGGCGAACCGGGGGAACUGAAACAUCUAAGUACCCCGAGGAAAAGAAAUCAACCGAGAUUCCCCCAGUAGCGGCGAGCGAACGGGGAGGAGCCCAGAGCCUGAAUCAGCAUGUGUGUUAGUGGAAGCGUCUGGAAAGGCGCGCGAUACAGGGUGACAGCCCCGUACACAAAAGCGCAUGUGCUGUGAGCUCGAUGAGUAGGGCGGGACACGUGGUAUCCUGUCUGAAUAUGGGGGGACCAUCCUCCAAGGCUAAAUACUCCUGACUGACCGAUAGUGAACCAGUACCGUGAGGGAAAGGCGAAAAGAACCCCGGCGAGGGGAGUGAAAAAGAACCUGAAACCGUGUACGUACAAGCAGUGGGAGCACCCUUUGGGUGUGACUGCGUACCUUUUGUAUAAUGGGUCAGCGACUUAUAUUCUGUAGCAAGGUUAACCGAAUAGGGGAGCCGGAGGGAAACCGAGUCUUAACCGGGCGUUAAGUUGCAGGGUAUAGACCCGAAACCCGGUGAUCUAGCCAUGGGCAGGUUGAAGGUUGGGUAACACUAACUGGAGGACCGAACCGACUAAUGUUGAAAAAUUAGCGGAUGACCUGUGGCUGGGGGUGAAAGGCCAAUCAAACCGGGAGAUAGCUGGUUCUCCCCGAAAGCUAUUUAGGUAGCGCCUCGUGAAUUCAUCUCCGGGGGUAGAGCACUGUUUCGGCUAGGGGGCCAUCCCGGCUUACCAACCCGAUGCAAACUGCGAAUACCGGAGAAUGUUAUCACGGGAGACACACGGCGGGUGCUAACGUCCGUCGUGAAGAGGGAAACAACCCAGACCGCCAGCUAAGGUCCCAAAGUCAUGGUUAAGUGGGAAACGAUGUGGGAAGGCCCAGACAGCCAGGAUGUUGGCUUAGAAGCAGCCAUCAUUUAAAGAAAGCGUAAUAGCUCACUGGUCGAGUCGGCCUGCGCGGAAGAUGUAACGGGGCUAAACCAUGCACCGAAGCUGCGGCAGCGACACUGUGUGUUGUUGGGUAGGGGAGCGUUCUGUAAGCCUGUGAAGGUGUGUCGUGAGGCAUGCUGGAGGUAUCAGAAGUGCGAAUGC
rnacentral:rRNA from 1 species